AGAACGAACGCUGGCGGCAUGCCUAAUACAUGCAAGUCGAACGAACUCUUCGGAGUUAGUGGCGCACGGGUGCGUAACGCGUGGGAAUCUGCCCCUUGGUUCGGAAUAACAGUUGGAAACGACUGCUAAUACCGGAUGAUGACGAAAGUCCAAAGAUUUAUCGCCAAGGGAUGAGCCCGCGUAGGAUUAGCUAGUUGGUGAGGUAAAGGCUCACCAAGGCAACGAUCCUUAGCUGGUCUGAGAGGAUGAUCAGCCACACUGGGACUGAGACACGGCCCAGACUCCUACGGGAGGCAGCAGUAGGGAAUAUUGGACAAUGGGCGAAAGCCUGAUCCAGCAAUGCCGCGUGAGUGAUGAAGGCCUUAGGUUGUAAAGCUCUUUACCCGAGAUGAUAAUGACAGUAGUCGGAGAAUAAGCCCCGGCUAACCUCCGUGCCAGUACGCCGC
rnacentral:rRNA from 1 species